UUUGUACCAUACACAAAAACAAACCUAAGUGUCUAACUAAAUUAGAACACUUGUAGGUCGAGAAACGAACCGCGAACAAGGAAUCGAAUAGAGAUUUGCACGGAACGCAAAUCUGUCGAGAAACGAACCGCGAACAAGGAAUCGAAUAGAGAUUUGCACGGAACGCAAAUCUGAGAUUAGUGGACGGCUUUGGAAAAAUAUGUUCAAGUGGUUAUCAAGAACGCAAGCUUUUGUGAUGUCAUCCGUUUUCGAUUGUUAUGUUUUGAACUUUGAAUAAUGUAGUUAAAGUUGGUGUUGUUUCAAGUUUCAAACAAGACAUAUGUAAUGUAAACUAUGGUU